rnacentral:ncRNA from 2 species
CUCUUAUCCAGAGCAGGCGGAGGGAUUUGGCCCUAUGAUGCCCAGCAACCGACCGUAAUUCCGUCGCGAGACGGGGCGCGAAAGCAAGACGCGCCAGGGUUUUGACCCUGAAGGCACGGUGCUAAUUCCAACAGAAAGGUUUUUUACCUUUCUGAGAGAUAAGAG